UUAAAAAAGCCUGCUAAAACACCCAUGGGCACUGCCUAAUUGCAUGGCUGCUUUAGUCCAGAAGGAAGAUAAUUCUAUGGCUCAGGCUGCUUCUGUUGAGAUCUGUGACAACAACUCUCACUGUACCUGCAUCUGCUACUUUGUCAUUUGCCUGUUUCCACAGGACUUUGAGGUAGGGGCAAAAUGGUAAAAUGUUAUAGGUGAUAUCUUUUGAUUUUUCAUAAAUACAGUUUCAGUGUGGCAAUGUUGCAUGAUGUCUGCCUCUUUCUUCUACAAUCACCAAAGUCCAAUGAGAAAGCAAAGGUCAAGAAGUUCUUUGAUGUCUGACCAAGAUCAAUUCACCAAGAAGAGACUGUUUCAUUUUAAUAUUCUGCUGGAGGUAGUCUUCACAUGCUUGUGGUAGAAAUACCCCCUUGCCUAUCCUCAACUUGGUUCAGCCCAUUGUUCUAAAAGGCUUAGCAGGGGAUGACUAAUGAGCAGGCUAUGACUUCUUGGAGACAAAGGUGAGAGUUGGGUGAAUCAAGUGACCACUAAAGGUGGAAAGUAGAACCCGAAUAAGAGCUGUAACAAAACAGGGAUUCUCCUGAGACAACUAAAGAUAUGAAGAAAGACUCCAGGAUGGAGGAAGGUCUGUGAAAAAUAUACAAGUGAUGGAAAUGGAAUUAACUACUUGCCUGAGUACAGAGUAUGAGGACAACAUAUGCCAAUAUUCAUCCUGGGAAAAAAGGGAGCAUUAUUUUUUUUUGGAAGGAAGAAGGAGAAAGGAAGGAAUGAGCAUCCUGGGAAAGGCAGGUGCUAGGAUGUUCAUCAGUGGUGCCACAAAAUCCACUUUAGUUCUUUGGUCACUCCAUUCAUCAAGGCAGCUCAGGAAAACUGUUUGAAAAGCACAGGAGAAAGUAGGAGGUGCUCCAAAGGAGGAGGAGGCAAACAUUUGCUCAAGCUUAUCUGGAGUUUCCUAUCCUCUCACAGCCAGGGAGGUCUCAAUUGGAAAGGACUUCUGAGAAGAGGUUGUAGAUUCUAAAGAAGUAGCAUCCUAUGAAGAGAAAGGACUAGGCUGGGACAGAAAAGGGUCAAAAUGACUGACCUGAAAGAAGCCAUGAAGAAGAAAAAGAAUUAACAAAAAGCAUCAUAUGGUCUUUUCCCACAAUAAUUGUAUUGUGUUCAGCUAGGUGCAUAUCAUAGUGGAGAAAAGAUAAAUAUGAGAAAAGUUUUUAUAACAUAAUAUUCUUGUGUAAUUCUCAUUAUUGAAAUAAGAACUUAACAAAUAAAUGUUUUACAUUCCACGGAAGAAACAGACAAUAAUGAGGAAGGAGGACAAAUAUCAUUUAUGAAAUUAUUUAAAUAAUGGUGAUUUUAAUUAAAUUCUUUGCUUCUGAAUGACUUUUAAAGACAUAUGUUUUCUUUGUAAAGUCAAUCACCUCUUGGCAUUAUUUAAUCCUUCUCAACAUUAGGCUAAUGUUCCAAAAUGUUUUAAA
rnacentral:lncRNA from 1 species